ACAAAGAUGGCGGUCCAACGGCAGGAAAUAGAACUGCAACUUUGGGAUCUAAAUAUUUUUUUAACGGAAUGGUUUUUCAUCCAGAGGUUCCGAAAAGACUAAAAGGUACAGCCCAGCGGUCUAUAAGUCCCGGAUGGAAAAAGAAAAUCCUUGUCAUCAUCUUCCUCCUCCUGCUCCCCCCCCAAAAAAGCAUCCCUCUGUGGCCCUGGCAGGAAGCUGGGCCACCUCCACUGGAGCUCGAUUCACAUCCCCGGUUAUUUUCUUUCCAGUGCUAGUGUCCA